AUUCAACAGUCUAAAGUUGUUAAAAUUGAAAUUGUCUUAAAUAAUUGAGAUUUGUAGUAAAUUUUGGUUACUUCUGUUAAAAUUUUAGGGGUUUCUAUAAUAAAUAAAGAAAUUAAAAAAAAUGAAAGAAAAGCUGUGAAAUGUUGAAAAUAGUGGUACACGUGACCCUCUUUAUCACUCAGUUCACGCACAAAUCCAUAUAAUAGGUAAAAGGGUACUUUCACUGUUCUUAGGAACAGUGAAAGUGAGCCCUCUUAAGUAAUACAUAAUAAUAAUUAGAUAAGCUUCUCUAUCAUAGUUAAUUUCAGAAAUUCAAAUUUAUAUGAUUUCUUUUACAUGUCAGAAGGCAAUGUCAUGAAUUUUUCUUCUCCUUUUAAUUUUUAUCUUUUUGGCUAUUCUUCCAAUACUUUCUUUUUUUCAUUAGUUAUUCAAAUAAAUAUCUCUAUCUCACCCUCCCCUUCUUCCACCACCAGGAGCAACACCCCCUCCCCCCAAAGGUAAAAAACAGAGGGAAGAAACUAAUCCUUCACAAAAUUUUCUAGUUAAUUCUGAACUUCUAUAUUUACCUUGUGUCCUUAGGAAAAUCAUGAAGCAUGGACAAAUGUCUCUUUUAUGUACAUGAGCUUAAUAAACUCCGCAGGUUUGAAUUAGGUUGGCCCCAAUCCUUUUUUCUUUUAUACUACCAUCCUGCAUGAAAUUUCUUACAAUAAUGUUCCCUCUAUUAGGUGAAGACUAAAAGGAAUUGAGUUGUUAUAUGUAGUUAAUGGAUCUAUUCAUGAUGGCAUUUCUUUUUCUUAAAUUUUAUUUAUUUCUACCCAAAAUUCGAAGCAAGUGCACAAUCUUGCUUUCAUCUGUUCAUAUUGAAUGGAUGCCCCUACUUUGUAUCAACAUAAUAUACUAUGUCUGAUUCUUUGCAGAUCCUUAUUUAAUUAUGUGGUUUAGAUUUUUUUUUCCCUUUACCUGUGUUGACACACAAGAAUCAAUUUCAUUUUGCUCAGCCUUGAAUUUUACUUCAUGAAAUUAUAGUUUCGUUCUAUUAAAAUGUCAAACAUGUGGUUUAAAUUUAUUCGUGUUACGAGUAGAAGCUCAUUGCUUUCUGUUGUCAUGGCGUAUCCUCCAUCCAUUAACUCAACUUCACUUUGUACUCUAAAUGAUUUGCCACAAUUUGAACAAGUUUCCUCUGUUUAGAAUUAAAUACUCGAGUUUCUAACAGAAUUGCUAGUUUUACCACAUGACCUUUUUAUAGAAUGCCUUAUAGACUAUGAACCGUGAAUUACUGGACAGCUACAAAAGAUAAUAGAAGAGCCACUUGCUUGUUGUUCAUAUCCUACAUUUUUUUUUUUUACUACAGAAUGGAAAAAUUACUUGGGACUAGCUUUUGACAUUAACAAUUGAAACACUUGUUUCAAUUUUGGCUGCAUCAGGAUGAAGUUGU
rnacentral:misc_RNA from 1 species